GCGGUAACAGAGAGAAGCUUGCUUCUCUGCUGACGAGCGGCGGACGGGUGAGUAAUGCCUGGGAAAUUGCCCUGAUGUGGGGGAUAACCAUUGGAAACGAUGGCUAAUACCGCAUGAUGCUUUCGAGCCAAAGAGGGGGACCUUCGGGCCUCUCGCGUCAGGAUAUGCCCAGGUGGGAUUAGCUAGUUGGUGGGGUAAAGGCUCACCAAGGCGACGAUCCCUAGCUGGUCUGAGAGGAUGAUCAGCCACACUGGGACUGAGACACGGCCCAGACUCCUACGGGAGGCAGCAGUGGGGAAUAUUGCACAAUGGGCGCAAGCCUGAUGCAGCCAUGCCGCGUGUAUGAAGAAGGCCUUCGGGUUGUAAAGUACUUUCAGUGGUGAGGAAGGGGGURUGGUUAAUAGCCAUAUUCUUUGACGUUAGCCACAGAAGAAGCACCGGCUAACUCCGUGCCAGCAGCCGCGGUAAUACGGAGGGUGCGAGCGUUAAUCGGAAUUACUGGGCGUAAAGCGCAUGCAGGUGGUUUGUUAAGUCAGAUGUGAAAGCCCGGGGCUCAACCUCGGAGUUGCAUUUGAAACUGGCAGGCUAGAGUACUGUAGAGGGGGGUAGAAUUUCAGGUGUAGCGGUGAAAUGCGUAGAGAUCUGAAGGAAUACCGGUGGCGAAGGCGGCCCCCUGGACAGAUACUGACACUCAGAUGCGAAAGCGUGGGGAGCAAACAGGAUUAGAUACCCUGGUAGUCCACGCCGUAAACGAUGUCUACUUGGAGGUUGCGGUCUUGAACUGUGGCUUUCGGAGCUAACGCGUUAAGUAGACCGCCUGGGGAGUACGGUCGCAAGAUUAAAACUCAAAUGAAUUGACGGGGGCCCGCACAAGCGGUGGAGCAUGUGGUUUAAUUCGAUGCAACGCGAAGAACCUUACCUACUCUUGACAUCCAGAGAAUCCUGCGGAGACGCGGGAGUGCCUUCGGGAGCUCUGAGACAGGUGCUGCAUGGCUGUCGUCAGCUCGUGUUGUGAAAUGUUGGGUUAAGU
rnacentral:rRNA from 1 species